rnacentral:rRNA from 1 species
AGCGAACGCUGGCGGCAGGCCUAACACAUGCAAGUCAACGGACCCUUCGGGGUUAGUGGCGGACGGGUGAGUAACACUGGGAACGUGCCUUUAGGUUCGGAAUAGCUCCUGGAAACGGGUGGUAAUGCCGAAUGUGCCCCUCGGGGGAAAGAUUUAUCGCCUUUAGAGCGGCCCGCGUCUGAUUAGCUUGUUGGUGAGGU